GAAUCAUGUACCUACGUACGAACAUCACGUUCUCGCUUUCAUACAUCAUUCGACCACGAGCGCUAUCAAGGCAUGACUUGAAUUUGCAAAUUACCUAGUUACCAUGAGUCACAUGUGUUUUGUAUUGUGCUUUGUUAUUGUUUUUAAUAAUUAUAAUGUGAAUGCGUUUAUUUUUACGAAUAAAAUAACGAUAGUUUUAGAAGAUGUACCGAUCCCUCAUCAUAUUGAUAGUAAUAAUAUAAAUGUCGAGGAAACUCCAUUGGAAUACAUUUUAAAAAUUGAUAACAUAAAGUGCGCCGAAAUAGGAGAGUUUUGUAACAACAACAGCGAUUGCUGCUCCCAUUCUUGCUUGGGAUUUAUGAAGAGGUGCGUUUCCUGAAAAGUUUAAAAGAACACAAAAACAUAAUAUAGAAAACUUUUAUUUAUUUAUUUUACGGGCUGGGUGAAUUGGAUGAUUCAAAUGUGUUAAAUCAGGCGGAUUCUUUACAAAAUAUUGAACUUCCUUCAUUGCUCCUUCUGAAAUGUUCCAGAGUUCGGGAUAAUUCUUUUUGAAAUCACUGUACCAAUUGGAAAUCUGUAACAUAGAUUAUAAUAUUAAAGACUAUGUAUUAAA